rnacentral:rRNA from 1 species
GGCGGACGGGUGGAGUAAUAUGUAGGAAAUCUGCCCUAGAGAGGGGGACAACAGAGGGAAACUUCUGCUAAUACCCCAUAUGAGCUUAGUUGAAAUACUAAUCUUGAAAACUCCGGUGCUCUAGGAUGAGCCUGCAUCUGAUUAGCUAGUUGGUGGUGUAAUGGACCACAAAGGCGACGAUCAGUAGCUGGUUUGAGAGGAUGAUCAGCCACAAUGGGACUGAGACACGGCCCAUACUCCUACGGGAGGCAGCAGUAGGGAAUUUUGCGCAAUGGGGGAAACCCUGAACCGCAGCAACACCGCGUGAAUGUUAAGCCCUUCGGGGUAUAAAGUUCUGUCAAUGGGGAAGAAUAAAUGACUGUACCCAUAAAGGAAGCACCGGCUAACUCCGUGCCAGCAGCUGC